rnacentral:scaRNA from 1 species
ACAACUUCUCGGCCUUUUGGCUAAGAUCAAGUGUAGUAUCUUUAUAAAUGAUAUUUUAAACUAUACCCCUC